GACGAACGCUGGCGGCGUGCUUAACACAUGCAAGUCGAACGCUGAAGCUUGGUGCUUGCACUGGGUGGAUGAGUGGCGAACGGGUGAGUAAUACGUGAGUAACCUGCCUUUGACUCUGGGAUAAGUCCGGGAAACUGGGUCUAAUACUGGAUACGACAUGUCACCGCAUGGUGGUGUGUGGAAAGGGUUUUACUGGUUUUGAGUGGGCUGACGGCCUAUCAGCUUGUUGGUGGGGUAAUGGCUCACCAAGGCGACGACGGGUAGCAGGCCUGAGAGGGUGACAGGCCACCCUGAGACUGAGACACGGCCGAGACUCCUACGGGAGGCAGAUGUGGGGAAGAUUGCACAAGGGGCGGAAGCCGGAUGCAGCGACUCCGCGGGAGGGAUGACGGCCUUCGGGUUGUAAACCUCUUUCAGCACGGAAGAAGCGAAAGUGACGGUACCUGCAGAAGAAGCGCCGGCUAACUACGUG
rnacentral:rRNA from 1 species